UGCGUAGGCUGGCUAAUAAGUCAGUGGUGAAAUCUUCCGGCUCAACCGGGAACCUGCCAUGGAUACUGUUAGUCUUGAGUUCGGCUGAGGUAGGCGGAAUGUGUAAUGUAGCGGUGAAAUGCUUAGAUAUUGCACAGAACACCAAUUGCGUAGGCAGCUUACUAGACCGACACUGACGCUGAGGCACGAAAGCGUGGGGAGCGAACAGGAUUAGAUACCCUGGUAGUCC
rnacentral:rRNA from 1 species